rnacentral:misc_RNA from 1 species
UUUUUUUGCAAUUAUACCUAGGGGCGGGUGCCCAGGGAGUGGGGCAGAACCAUUUGUGCAUUAUUGGGUUGGUACCCAAUGGUGGCUGAGUGGUGUCUGUAUGUGCACUGCACAGUAUCUGGCUCUUGUUGGGUUACACAGUAAUGUGUGUGACAUUACUUGCAUACGAAUGCAUUGGUGCAGAUGUAUCAUGUGAACACCAGCUGGGUGGGGGACUGUGGAAUGAUAUACAGGUUGACACUUGCAGAUAUCAACAUCUGAUGAAGCAAUGUGAAUUGUGAUUGGCGUGGCAUCUAAAGCAGUACACCCUUGUACGUGCUUGCUGUUGUGAA